ACACUGGACGCUCGGGUCUCUUUAGCUCGCAGCCGACCCCGGGUAACCUAGGUCCGUCGCCGUCCAGAGAGAGCGCAUAACCGUCUCCUCCUCGAUCCUUCCCACCGCCGCCUCCAUGUUGCUCUGUGUUCGUCGAAUCGAAGGGGACAGUAGAUGAGAGAUGAGAAACAGACGAUGAAGGGAUGACGAGUCGAGCUCAAACAAGGCGCACAGGACGCCGUCGGCCGCCCCUCGACUUCAGCGAUGUUCGACGGCCACUGGUGGUUAUUUGCGAUGUCGCUGCAGGUUUGGAAUGGUGGGAGGCUGCGCAGUUGGUGCAGAACUAUGGGGGAUUUUCGGGUGUCAGCUGUCACGCUUAAAGAUGGACUUUCAGUCUAACUUGUAGCGUCGGAUUUUAUUUGAAGGGUGUUUGGUGACGAGAGAUGCGAUGAACAUUCUGAACACAUUACUUGCGAAAAAAAUUGGUUCUUAUGAGGGAUGAACAAUUCUUUGGCAUAUCUGAAACUUCAAUGGCAAAGUGGCACCGGAGUGUCUUAUUUCUGCACCUUCAGGAGGAAUAUCCUGACACAGAAAUGAAUCUAGCUGGACAUAUUUGCAUGCUCGAACAGCUUCCGCGGAAGGAAAAGGAAAAGCUGGCAAGCGAGCUAAUGGAUAUUGCAAGAGAAAAAACAGAAAAUAAAAGGCAGCAAGAGGAACAUUAGCAAACGCCAAAAGCCAGAGUGACAGCAAUCAAGUCACCAGAUAUGAUAGUGGUCCUUUUAAAGAAAUGCUGUUCUGCCUUCCCCUGCGUCUCUGAGCAGAAGCAAGCAGGAGGACAACGAGCAGCGCUCUUCUAUCAUUUAAUUUGUUGCAGGUACCUAUGUUUUUAAGGCGUCGCCUAAGCGUCGCCUAGUCGUCGCCUAAGCGUCAAGGCGCCCCAGGAUGGCAAGGCGUCUACCCCGCCUUAGACAGACAUGAAGUGUACGGCUGUGGCUGCCCUAGUUCUGGCUGCUCCUGGGGCUUGGAGAUGACGGCCCCGCUGUCUCCCGGCACCAUGAAGAGGAGGGAGGACUGGGGGCUCCUGGGGCUUGCUGCUGUGAGGGAGAAGGGUGGGGCCAUGAAGAGGAGGGAGGGAGGACCAGAAGGGUGUGGCUUCGUGGCGGCUGUGGUGGGAAAGAAGGGAAGGAGAUAGUGGAAUUAGGUCACGGGGGUGUAUAUGGCCACUAGAUGGGCUUUUGGGCCACUGGGAGGUGCAUAAGUAGUGGCCCAUCUCUCAGCCAUUGCUCUUUUUCUAGUAUUAAUAUGUGCAGACCUAUUGAUGACUCUUUUCCUGCAAUGUUUAAGGCGUCGCCUUGCCUCGCCUUACCGCCUCGCCUUGGCGCUUAGGCGUCAGAGCGGCCCUCCUCCGCCUUAUGACGCUUUACCGCCUUAAAAACAUAGGCAGGUACAAUCGCCAAGUCCUUGGGACUGGAUCUGGGUUUUUCUGGUUCCAGAAUUCCUUGGCGAAGAAUUCCCAAUGAUUGCUAGCCAGGAUAGCUCAGUGGAAUGUCAUAUCCUAUCCAAUAUCCAAAUAUAUGUUAAUAUUCGCUUGGGUUCCACGCUUAUGUUUUCUUAAUGAUUC